GGGUUGUGAGGUUAAGCGACUAAGCGUACACGGUGGAUGCCCUGGCAGUCAGAGGCGAUGAAGGACGUGCUAAUCUGCGAUAAGCGCCGGUAAGGUGAUAUGAACCGUUAUAACCGGCGAUUUCCGAAUGGGGAAACCCAGUGUGACUCGUCACACUAUCAUUAACUGAAUCCAUAGGUUAAUGAGGCGAACCGGGGGAACUGAAACAUCUAAGUACCCCGAGGAAAAGAAAUCAACCGAGAUUCCCCCAGUAGCGGCGAGCGAACGGGGAGGAGCCCAGAGCCUGAAUCAGCAUGUGUGUUAGUGGAAGCGUCUGGAAAGGCGCGCGAUACAGGGUGACAGCCCCGUACACAAAAGCGCAUGUGCUGUGAGCUCGAUGAGUAGGGCGGGACACGUGGUAUCCUGUCUGAAUAUGGGGGGACCAUCCUCCAAGGCUAAAUACUCCUGACUGACCGAUAGUGAACCAGUACCGUGAGGGAAAGGCGAAAAGAACCCCGGCGAGGGGAGUGAAAAAGAACCUGAAACCGUGUACGUACAAGCAGUGGGAGCACAGGUUUACCUGUGUGACUGCGUACCUUUUGUAUAAUGGGUCAGCGACUUAUAUUCUGUAGCAAGGUUAACCGAAUAGGGGAGCCGGAGGGAAACCGAGUCUUAAUUGGGCGUUAAGUUGCAGGGUAUAGACCCGAAACCCGGUGAUCUAGCCAUGGGCAGGUUGAAGGUUGGGUAACACUAACUGGAGGACCGAACCGACUAAUGUUGAAAAAUUAGCGGAUGACCUGUGGCUGGGGGUGAAAGGCCAAUCAAACCGGGAGAUAGCUGGUUCUCCCCGAAAGCUAUUUAGGUAGCGCCUCGUGAAUUCAUCUCCGGGGGUAGAGCACUGUUUCGGCUAGGGGGCCAUCCCGGCUUACCAACCCGAUGCAAACUGCGAAUACCGGAGAAUGUUAUCACGGGAGACACACGGCGGGUGCUAACGUCCGUCGUGAAGAGGGAAACAACCCAGACCGCCAGCUAAGGUCCCAAAGUCAUGGUUAAGUGGGAAACGAUGUGGGAAGGCCCAGACAGCCAGGAUGUUGGCUUAGAAGCAGCCAUCAUUUAAAGAAAGCGUAAUAGCUCACUGGUCGAGUCGGCCUGCGCGGAAGAUGUAACGGGGCUAAACCAUGCACCGAAGCUGCGGCAGCGACACUCAGGUGUUGUUGGGUAGGGGAGCGUUCUGUAAGCCUGUGAAGGUGGCCUGUGAGGGUUGCUGGAGGUAUCAGAAGUGCGAAUGCUGACAUAAGUAACGAUAAAGCGGGUGAAAAGCCCGCUCGCCGGAAGACCAAGGGUUCCUGUCCAACGUUAAUCGGGGCAGGGUGAGUCGACCCCUAAGGCGAGGCCGAAAGGCGUAGUCGAUGGGAAACGGGUUAAUAUUCCCGUACUUGGUGUUACUGCGAAGGGGGGACGGAGAAGGCUAUGUUGGCCGGGCGACGGUUGUCCCGGUUUAAGCGUGUAGGCUGGUUUUCCAGGCAAAUCCGGAAAAUCAAGGCUGAGGCGUGACGACGAGGCACUACGGUGCUGAAGCAACAAAUGCCCUGCUUCCAGGAAAAGCCUCUAAGCAUCAGGUAACAUCAAAUCGUACCCCAAACCGACACAGGUGGUCAGGUAGAGAAUACCAAGGCGCUUGAGAGAACUCGGGUGAAGGAACUAGGCAAAAUGGUGCCGUAACUUCGGGAGAAGGCACGCUGACACGUAGGUGAAGUGAUUUACUCAUGGAGCUGAAGUCAGUCGAAGAUACCAGCUGGCUGCAACUGUUUAUUAAAAACACAGCACUGUGCAAACACGAAAGUGGACGUAUACGGUGUGACGCCUGCCCGGUGCCGGAAGGUUAAUUGAUGGGGUCAGCGCAAGCGAAGCUCCUGAUCGAAGCCCCGGUAAACGGCGGCCGUAACUAUAACGGUCCUAAGGUAGCGAAAUUCCUUGUCGGGUAAGUUCCGACCUGCACGAAUGGCGUAAUGAUGGCCAGGCUGUCUCCACCCGAGACUCAGUGAAAUUGAACUCGCUGUGAAGAUGCAGUGUACCCGCGGCAAGACGGAAAGACCCCGUGAACCUUUACUAUAGCUUGACACUGAACAUUGAGCCUUGAUGUGUAGGAUAGGUGGGAGGCUUUGAAGUGUGGACGCCAGUCUGCAUGGAGCCG
rnacentral:rRNA from 1 species